UGAUGGAUCAGCAUAAGGGCAAGGAGGUUUUAAACUGAAAAAUGAGCGAAAAAAAGCGCACAUGAGGCAAGGAGGUUUUAAACUAGAAAAAUGAGCAAAAAAAUUAUCCCACAUGAGGAUUGCAUGUAUCAGGAGAAUAAAUUCAGGAAAAAUAGAGGCACGAAGGGGAGUCAAAUUGAGGUCUUAGGGAACAAUCUUAUAUGUUCUUGUGUUUUAAUUUGGGAAUAUAUAUAUAAUUCAGAAAAAAUGGUGGACACACCACAUGGGGAUUGCAUGUAUCAGGAGAAUAAAUUCGGGAAAAAUAGAGGCACGAAGGGAGUCAAAUUGAGGUCUUAGGGAACAAUCUUAUAUGUUCUCGUGUUUUAAUUUGGGAAUAUAUAUAUAAUUCAGAAAAAGGGGUGGACUUUGGGAAUAUAUAUAUAAUUCAGAAAAAGUGGUGGACACAUGGGUUCGAAAACCUAGAUCUCAGGUUCACACACAAUUGCCUUACCAUUACACUAUGCAUCCAGUUGUGAGUUGUGUAAUUGUUUUGUAAUGUAAAUAUUUUAUAUAGGUUCGUUAUUUAGGAGACAAAAGUAGAGGUGCAAGGGGAUCGAACCCAAGACUCAUGCUAGAGAAGGACAUGGCUUACCAACGCACCACACG
rnacentral:lncRNA from 1 species